GGGGAUGUGGCAUUCUCAUUUUGAAGUUUUAGAAGUUUUUGUAACUGACGAGGCCGCAAAGACUUUUAGCUUUGCGGCUUUUUUUAUUCGGCAAGUCUUUCUGAAACUUUAGUACAUGAGCAAGGAGGUAAGUCCAAGAUGGCGAAGGGUACGGUGAAGUGGUUCAACGAGUCCAAGGGAUUCGGCUUUAUCACAAGCGAAGACGGCAGCGACGUGUUUGUCCACUAUUCUUCCAUUCAGGGCGACGGAUUCAAGUCGCUUGCUGAAGGAGAUGCGGUCAGCUUUGAUGUCGAGAAAGGUCCUAAAGGGCCGAAGGCAAUCAACGUAGUUAAACUUUAAUUGUCCGUAAAAAAGCUCCCCUGUAACGCAGGGGGGCUUUUU
rnacentral:sRNA from 1 species